AGUGAACGCUGGCGGUAGGCCUAACACAUGCAAGUCGAACGGCAGCACAGUAAGAGCUUGCUCUUACGGGUGGCGAGUGGCGGACGGGUGAGGAAUACAUCGGAAUCUACUUUUUGGUGGGGGAUAACGUAGGGAAACUUACGCUAAUACCGCAUACGACCUACGGGUGAAAGCAGGGGAUCUUCGGACCUUGCGCGAUUGAAUGAGCCGAUGUCGGAUUAGCUAGUUGGCGGGGUAAAGGCCCACCAAGGCGACGAUCCGUAGCUGGUCUGAGAGGAUGAUCAGCCACACUGGAACUGAGACACGGUCCAGACUCCUACGGGAGGCAGCAGUGGGGAAUAUUGGACAAUGGGCGCAAGCCUGAUCCAGCCAUACCGCGUGGGUGAAGAAGGCCUUCGGGUUGUAAAGCCCUUUUGUUGGGAAAGAAAAGCAGCAGGUUAAUACCCCGCCGUUCUGACGGUACCCAAAGAAUAAGCGCCGGCUAACUUCGUG
rnacentral:rRNA from 1 species